GUUUUCAAACCAAGCACUCACUACACAUGUACUAAAAUUAGAAUGACACAGAGUAGAUUAGCAUGGUCCCUGUGCAGGGGAUGAUACACACAUUCAUGAAGGAUUCCAUAUUUUU
rfam:Pan troglodytes isolate Yerkes chimp pedigree #C0471 (Clint) chromosome 17, whole genome shotgun sequence.